ACUCCAUGUGUAGCGGUGAAAUGCGUAGAUAUAUGGAAGAACACCAGUGGCGAAGGCGGCUGUCUGGUCUGUAACUGACGCUGAGGCUCGAAAGCAUGGGUAGCGAACAGGAUUAGAUACCCUGGUAGUCCAUGCCGUAAACGAUGAAUGCUAGGUGUUGGAGGGUUUCCGCCCUUCAGUGCCGCAGCUAACGCAUUAAGCAUUCCGCCUGGGGAGUACGACCGCAAGGUUGAAACUCAAAGGAAUUGACGGGGGCCCGCACAAGCGGUGGAGCAUGUGGUUUAAUUCGAAGCAACGCGAAGAACCUUACCAGGUCUUGACAUCUUUUGAUCACCUGAGAGAUCAGGUUUCCCCUUCGGGGGCAAAAUGACAGGUGGUGCAUGGUUGUCGUCAGCUCGUGUCGUGAGAUGUUGGGUUAAGUCCCGCAACGAGCGCAACCCUUAUGACUAGUUGCCAGCAUUUAGUUGGGCACUCUAGUAAGACUGCCGGUGACAAACCGGAGGAAGGUGGGGAUGACGUCAAAUCAUCAUGCCCCUUAUGACCUGGGCUACACACGUGCUACAAUGGAUGGUACAACGAGUUGCGAGACCGCGAGGUCAAGCUAAUCUCUUAAAGCCAUUCUCAGUUCGGACUGUAGGCUGCAACUCGCCUACACGAAGUCGGAAUCGCUAGUAAUCGCGGAUCAGCACGCCGCGGUGAAUACGUUCCCGGGCCUUGUACACACCGCCCGUCACACCAUGAGAGUUUGUAACACCCGAAGCCGGUGGCGUAACCCUUUAG
rnacentral:rRNA from 2 species